rnacentral:lncRNA from 1 species
UUCACUCUGACUGACAUUUAUGUUAUUACGGAAUCAUCCCAAACUUUCACUCUGACUGACAUCUAUGUUAUGGAAUCACUCCAAACUUUCACUCUGACUGACAUCUAUGUUAAGCAAUCACUCUCUAGAUCUAUUACCUGGUACAUGUUUACAACCAUAAUUAUUCAACAGCAUUAAGUAAUAUUUAAUAUUACAUGUCUAAGUUUUCUUAGUUGGAUUUGAAACAUUUUCGUUACUGAAAAUUAAACAUGAAAAUUAAGUAUUUUUGACAGUGUCACGUGAGGACAGUUUAUAUAUAUAUAUCAACAAUAUAUGCACAAAACGUUAUUAUUUCUUAAUGAAAUUGUAAAUAAGAGCUCGUGAACUUUAGGUUUUUAUGUUAUUUGUACUGUGUGAUUAAAACCGUACAGUUCUCCUUUUGUUUUAUACAGUAAAGAUCAGUAGUAACCUCUGAAUACCAAAGAAGCAUUAGGCCUAACAUUUGUGAUAAAAAUCACGUAAACUACAAAUGUGUUUAUCCACAUUCUUCUUCAUUUAAACAUUUCGGAUUAAAAAAUCAGAGGCGUGUAAAAUGGUAUUUCAGAUCUAUGUUUUGUCUCCUACAAGUCUUUGCCCAAGAAGCUUUUCGUACAAUGCCAGAACUUGUCAAGUGGGCUAGACGAUGAGAGACUAAAGGUUUUUGAAUCCAAGAUGGACUAGUUAAAAGAAAAGUGGGGAAAAAAACAUUUACAGUUUACGUGAUUUUUAUCAUGAAUGUUAGGCUUAAUGUUUUUCCAGCUCUGAAUGUAUAGGUUUGUAUGAGCACACCUAAGCCUAAAUUCAAACCGUGCUACAACUUGCUUGGAAGAAUGUCAGCGUUCCUGUUUAAGAAAUUUAAUGUUGACAGCUUAACCGAAAACUUAUGGUCUUUGUUUCUCUCUUUUCUUUUUUUUCGUUUUUUUAAUUAUCUACACUGAACAUGAAUUCUUCUGCCCUCCAUCUGAGCAGCAGGCCUACCCUGAUGAUGUAGCAAUCCAAAUUCGAGUUGUAAACGCUUUCCGCAGUGGUAUUGACGCUCGGAAUAAUCCCGCCAUUCUAAAGAGGCUCGCAGAGAAACGUUCGUCUUCCAUCUCCUCGGAAGCCAUCGAAAGCAGCCUAAAAAACAUCGAGAGAGAAGAAUCGAAACGAGGAACUAUUCAAACCAUCGAGGAGGAAGGGGAAUCGUCGGACAGAAAAAACGAUACGAAAAACUUGGAAAAUGCAGAUGGCGCGUCAAACCACAGCGUGGAAACGGCAGUGUGAUAGGCCUAAACUUGCUAGUUACCAGACAUUCAGCUCAACCUCCUUAGGCCUACAUUUUCUUCUGAUAAUAACUUGUGCGUUUGUAGUGAAUAUAGGCCAAUUCCUGGUGUGGCUAUCAUUGGUUUACAGAUAUAAAAACCAAUGUGGAAAUUACCACGAAUCCCAGCUUUCUUUUCUAGUGUUAGUGUUGCAUGUUCUAGAACUUUGUUUCUGAUUUAUGUUAUGUUUCCAAAACGUUCCACGUUUCCUAAGUUCAAAUAUUGUGUUUCCAGGCUAUGGAAGAGGUAAGACAAAGUGAUUACUGUACUGAAGAAAAACGUCCUUAACUAACCUCCGGAAUGUUCAUUCAAAGUUUCUAAUGUUGCAGGUGCUUUAAAAUAGAACUUAGAAGCGGGUGUGUUUUUGUUUUCUUAUCGAAAUUUUUCAUGUAUUAUAAAAAAAAAACUUUAAAAAUAUCUUUCUGUAUUAAUGUGUGUGUGGUUUAGAUGUUAAUGUAUUUUUCACACCCCUAUCAAGUUUGUCAAAAGUAACGUUAAAAAUCCAGAACAUCUAAUAGACAAGCAGGUUAUACAGCACGUGAUCUUGGUUGUUGUUGUUUUUUUGCCUUUUUCCAUGUUCUUUUACGUUAUCGAGUUUUAGCACGUUCAUAAACAACGACUAAUGUAAGUGGUGAGCUUACACCAUUAGGGUGCGCUCUGGAUUAUAAGCUGGUGACGUAAGAUUGGGUUUUGAACUUAACAAAAGAGAAAAGGUCUUGGUGUGCGGCGUGCCUUUUCCAGUGAAGCUUGGAAACAGUGAUAGACAUAUAAAACCAAAGAAUCAAGUGUAGCCUCGGGAUCACGUGCCAAGGAGAGCCGUGAGAAGAUCAAGUGAUUUUGUGCCGAAAUACACAUCGAUCUGCGUAACUAGAGGGCGCCACCCUCUUUCAUGGACAGGAACUCUUAGUGAAAGCGAUACUGUCGCAAUUUAAACCGUUUAAGUAGCUGGUUGUGUGUGUGUGUGUAUGUAUAUACAUAUAUAUAUAUAUACACACAUGCAUAAUUAUAAAUAUAUAUUAUACACAUUUACCUAAACGUUAGUUCAUCUUCGAACUCGAAUGAGGAAGUACUUUUUUGAUUAGAGAGUGUUUCGAGUUUAAUCUUUUACUGUAUACACAAGUACGUUUUAUAGUUUUUUUUUAAUAGCCGACUUCAGUAAUCCUAGCUGGAAUUAAAUAUUCAACACAGAAGAGUUCCAGAACUGAAAAAAGCAAAAAAAAUGACGAGGUUUUUCUCUGCGUGGACAAGUUAAUUAAGAUUGAUAGUUGAGUUUUUUUUUAAACAUAAUUAAAGAGAUGUUAAUUUUAAGUAACUACCAACGAAGAAUUGUUAUAUUUUUGAUUCGUGUUAUUAAUUCCCAAUUAGUCAAAAUAACAGUUAGAGAAAAGUACUCUAAUGGUUGAUUAGUUAUAUUUUAAGUUUGUAAGGAUACUAUAAUUUGUCAACUAUCGUCUGUCUUUCUUGAUAUUAGAGAACACGGUGCUCAUGCAGAAAUAUCUGUGCUGUCGUAGUUUAUUAAAAAAAAUUCGAUCUCUUUGUUUUAUUCUGAAUUUUCAGGUGCCCUCUAGCGGAAAGCAAAGAUAAUAUGUUAAAAAGGCAAAAUGACAAACAGUUUGCAUUUCACUUACCUCUAAAUGAAAUAGUAGUAAGCAGACUCAAUGUUCUAAUAAAAAAAAAUGCGAAAUAUUUCGUAAAAUUCAAGCUUUUCUAAUAUAUACAUUAUUGCUUUUUAUUCUCCAAUAACCGAUUGCCUAGUAAGACCCCGUUAUUGCAUAUUAUUACCGCUAGAGGGCAACGAUGCUGUUCCAAAGCAACUAUUGUACUGAACGGUGAAUGGCGUAUCGCUGAUUUUUACAGUCGUGAUUCCAAGCAUAACUGUGGUUUCUGUUUUUAUCUAACGAAUUUAUCGUUCAUCGAAUGUCUUGUUAACGUAGAAAAAUUUGUUGAAAACCAAAGAGACAAAGUUAGAGUAUUUUAUUUAACUGCUUGGGCUGUUUACUACCUGCAGUUCCGAUUGAAGAUCGUUUACUUUAUGGAUUGUGACAGUGGUUUUCGUUUCUUGUACUAACGGUGCAAUGAUUGUUCUAAACUGUACAUUUCCAUCCACGUCACAUCUUAUUAAAUAAACUUCAAUUCCAUCUCCCUUCA